GAGGUGCUGUUGGAUGAAGAUGAUGACCUGUGGAUGACUCUGAGACAUAAACACAUAGCAGAGGUGUCCACGGCUGUGACUAAAUCGCUUAAGGACUUCUCUGCAAGCAAAAAGAUGAACACAGGAGAGAAGACCACCAUGAAAGAGCUCUCCCAAAUGCUUAAAAAG